AAGUCGUAACAAGGUUUCCGUAGGUGAACCUGCGGAAGGAUCAUUAACACGUAUCCGACGUUAAACAACCCUGUGAACUUUCAGCCGCUCUUGUAGCCCUCGAGGAACAGCAAUCCCGGUAAAUCAUGGCCGAACAGUUUUGAUUCGGGACCUCUGUCCAAAAGGUAUCAAGUUACAAUUGAAGCGUGGGAGCAGCAAGCGGCUAGUGAAAUGACAUUGUCACUAGUUGUGUAAGGAUUACGCCUCACGGUUGCUAGAGGUCGAUCACCGGCCGGCAGACAUGUCACAGGGCUUUACGCCCACCCCUUGCAAGAAUGCCCCGCUAGAUGGUAACGCGCUAGGUAAAAAAACCGAACAACUGUUAACAAUGGAUAUCUUGGUUCUC
rnacentral:misc_RNA from 1 species